UAUUAUUUAAUUUUAUAUGGGGGUGGGUGUUAGGGUAUCCAGCAGCCACCAGGCCUUCCACGGGUGGCACUAGGCCUGGCAGGACUUCCAUCAGCUUUUCCUGGCACAGCCUUCCCAGUGCCACUCGACAUCCCAUCUGAAGAACAGGAGGCCAAAGACAGCAAAGGUAAGAAAGGGAAGAAGGGGGCGAGGAAGGAGUCAAAGGCAGGGAGCGAGCGACUGAGACGCAGGAUGGUGUGUGUGUGUGCCCCAAACGUGUCUGGGUUUGGGGGCUUUGGAAUAUGGCAACCCUAGAGGGGUGAUGGGAGCUGUAGUCCGAAAAUCUGAAGUGCUGCCUUUAAAAGGAGCUUGAUGGGCAGAAAUCAGUAGGUGACUUCUUCUCUUUUCAUAGCAUGGGGAAUAAAUACCACCUUCACAUUAGGUAAAGGUAAAGGGACCCCUGACCAUUAGGUCCAGUUGUGGCCGACUCUGGGGUUACGGCGCUGAUCUAGCAUUACUGGCCAGCAUGACUAAGCCGCUUCUGGCAAACUAGAGCAGCGCACGGGAACGCCGUUUACCUUCCCGCCAGAUUUAUCUACUUGCACUUUGAUAUGCUUUCGAACUGCUAGGUUGGCAGGAGCAGGAACCGAGCAACAGGAGCUCACCCCGUCGCAGGGAUUCAAACCGCCGACCUUCUGAUCGGCAAGUCCUAGGCUCUGUGGUUUAACCCACAGCGCCACCCGCGUCCCCUAUCUUCACAUUAGACUGCUGUUAAAAGCACAGUUAUGGUGGCCUGGCUGAUGAAAGCAAAUAGUUGGACAAAGUUGGGGUAAAGCAAAUACCAGAUGAACACAAAAAUGAUUUAAAUAGUCCCAUCACAAGUGCAGGGAAACAUGAUGCAAUUAAAAGCCUAAAAACAAAUGAGUCACCAGGUAAAGAUGGUUACACAUCCUCAUUUUGUAAAAAGAACGAGUAACACCAAUUUUAUGUAAUUUAUUAAAUGUGGUUAUGGUAGGAGAGCAGAUUCCAUCUGCAUGGAAGGAAACUCAAACUGUAGUUAUUAAAAAAAACAGAUAAGACAGGGAAAUGGUGUGUUUGUAGCAGGCUUUAAAUGAAAGACUUCCGUCACUUCGCUUCAUAUGCUGUAUUUAUUUAUUUAUUUAUUCAUCACAAAUUAGGUUGAAAUUCUGAAAAGGGCUGGCUUGCAUGGUAUGUGAAAAAUUAAAAGAUUUGUUUUAAAUCUGCUUAAAUCCUGCAUUUUCUUCCAGGUGUCUGAAAACUUUUGAUACUAAUUUUUUUUAUUGAGCUUUCAGCCUCGGCAGCGAUGGAUUUGUUUAUUUUUCUGCUUCCUCUCUAGUUCACUAUAUAUGAACCACUAAUCAUGAAACACAAGACUAUUACAGGCUGUCUCCUUCAUUUCUAAAAUGUUACCCAUGUAGAUUUUGCAGGUAUUUUUCUCCUGAUGUUGACUGCCUGGUUACUUUGUCUACACACUUGCCAGCGGGUGGCGCUGUAUGCCCCCUUUAUAAAUCCUGCAAAUGCUCCCUGGGGAUAAACAAAGGGAUUGUUGUUUUCCUCCUUAAGGAUAACCAAUGCAUAGCCUCCAACAUUUCUCUGAUGCAAAUAGGGUCAUCCUAAUCCAUAAUAAUAAUUUUACUAUUUAUAUGCCAUUCAUCUGACUAGGUUGCUCCAGCCACUCAGGGGCCCUUCCAACAUAUAUAAAAACAUAAUAAAACAUUAAACAUUGAAAAACUUUCCUAUACAGGGCUGCCUUCAGAUGGCUCUGGGGCCAGAUAACUCCAUAUCCUCCAGUAUUUCUCUGAUGAAAAAAAGGAUGUUCUAAGAAAAGCAGGAACUUCCAGGAUCAAAUUAGAAACCAGGACGGCUUCUCUCAAUCAGGGACAUCCCUGGAAAAACAGGGACACUUGGAAGGUCUGUCAAUGAUAUUUUCACACAUGAAAGCAGAAAGUCUGUGAGCCUCUUAGCAGACAAUUUAGCAGCACCAUUCCCACAGUUCCAUGGGAAGAAGAAACUACAGUUCCCAGGAUUCUUUGCGGAAGGAAAGCCAUGACUGUUUAAAGUGGUAUGAUAUCGCUUUAAAUGCAUAUGGGGCCUAAGAGCAGACCAUGACACAAGGGGCAUGUGAAAGAGAAGCCUUUCCUUCCUGCCAUAGCUGUCAACUUUUCCCUUUUCCUGCGAGGAAUCCUAUUCAGAAUAAGGGGAUUUCUCUUAAAAAAAGGGAAACGUUGACAGCUAUGCUUCCUGCAUGCCGAUUCCCCAGUAAGAGCAUACAGAAGAACCUUGCUGCAUCAGACCAAAGGCCCAUCGAAUUCAGCAUCCUGUCCUUACUAUGUAUUCUGGUAGAAAAUUCCAUUCUUUA